rnacentral:rRNA from 1 species
CCUACGGGAGGCAGCAGUGAGGAAUAUUGGUCAAUGGCCGCAGGGCUGAACCAGCCAAGUCGCGUGAGGGAUGACGGUCCUAUGGAUUGUAAACCUCUUUUGUCAGGGAGCAAAGGGCGCCACGUGUGGCGCUUUGCGAGUACCUGAAGAAAAAGCAUCGGCUAACUCCGUGCCAGCAGCCGCGGUAAUACGGAGGAUGCGAGCGUUAUCCGGAUUUAUUGGGGUUAAAGGGUGCGCAGGCGGAAUGGCAAGUCAGCGGUAAAAUUUCGGGGCUCAACCCCGUCGUGCCGUUGAAACUGGCGUUCUUGAGUGAGCGAGAAGUAUGCGGAAUGCGUGGUGUAGCGGUGAAAUGCAUAGAUAUCACGCAGAACUCCGAUUGCGAAGGCAGCAUACCGGCGCUCAACUGACGCUCAUGCACGAAAGCGUGGGUAUCGAACAGGAUUAGAUACCCCAGUAGUC